ACUGACGUUGAGAGACGAAGGCUUGGGUAGCAAACAGGAUUAGAUACCCUAAUAGUCCAAGCAGACAAUGAUGAAUGUCAUACAUUAGAUAUAAUUUUAAUGUAUAAACGAAAGUGUAAGCAUUCCACCUCAAGAGUACUAUGGCAACAUAUAAACUGAAAUCAUUAGACCGUUUCUAAAACCAGUAGUGAAGUAUGUUAUUUAAUUCGAUGAUCCGCGAAAAACCUUACCACAGCUUGUAUAGCAUAUUAUAAAAAAUUGUUACAAGCGCUGCAUGGCUGUCUUUAGUUAAUGUCGUGAGAUUUGGUUAAUUCCUUUAAUUAACGAAAACCCUCACUUUAUUUAUUUAUAUAAAGUGGUUCGCUACUACAUCGGACCAGAUAAUAGGGAUUAAGACAAGUCAUUAUGGCCUUAAUGCUGUGGGCUAUAGACGUGCCACAUACGCCUUUACAACGGGAUGCGAUAUUGUGAAAUGGAGCUAAUCCCCAAAAAAGGAAAUAAUAUGGAUUGUAGUCUGUAACUCGACUACAUGAAAAAGGAAUUACUAGUAAUCGUGAAUCACCAACGUCACGGUGAAUUUUAUCUUAGUUAGGUACUAACCACUCGUCAGGCGCUGAAAAAAGAAGAUGCAGUAAGUUUGAUUUUUUCUGUGUAAAGUUAUAUAUAUUUAUGAUAUAUAAAU
rnacentral:rRNA from 1 species